rnacentral:rRNA from 1 species
AAGCGGAGGAAAAGAAACUAACAAGGAUUCCCCUAGUAGCGGCGAGCGAAGCGGGAAGAGCUCAAAUUUGUAAUCUGGCGCUUUCAGCGUCCGAGUUGUAAUCUCUAGAAAUGUUUUCCGCGUUGCACCGCACACAAGUCUGUUGGAAUACAGCGGCACAGUGGUGAGACCCCCGUUCAUGGUGCGGAUGCGCAAUGCUUUGUGAUACAUUUUCGAAGAGUCGAGUUGUUUGGGAAUGCAGCUCAAAUUGGGUGGUAAAUUCCAUCUAAAGCUAAAUAUUGGCGAGAGACCGAUAGCGAACAAGUACCGUGAGGGAAAGAUGAAAAGCACUUUGGAAAGAGAGUUAACAGUACGUGAAAUUGUUGGAAGGGAAACGCUUGAAGUCAGACUUGCUGUUCGGAGUUCAGCCGCAAGGUGUACUCUCCGAGUUGCAGGCCAGCAUCAGUUUUUCGGGGUGGAAAAUCACGGUUUGAAGGUAGCAGUUUCGGCUGUGUUAUAGCUUUCCGUUGGAUACAUCCUGGGGGACUGAGGAACGCAGUGUGCUUUUAGCAGGGGUUUCGACCUCUUCACACUUAGGAUGCUGGUGGAAUGGCUUUAAACGACCC